CAGUAGCCGCGGUAAUACGGAGGGUGCAAGCGUUAUCCGGAUUUAUUGGGUUUAAAGGGUCCGUAGGCGGACUUAUAAGUCAGUGGUGAAAGCCUGUCGCUUAACGAUAGAACUGCCAUUGAUACUGUAAGUCUUGAGUAUAUUUGAGGUAGCUGGAAUAAGUAGUGUAGCGGUGAAAUGCAUAGAUAUUACUUAGAACACCAAUUGCGAAGGCAGGUUACCAAGAUAUAACUGACGCUGAGGGACGAAAGCGUGGGUAGCGAACAGGAUUAAAUACCCCUGUAGUCCCUGUCUCUUAUAC
rnacentral:rRNA from 1 species